rnacentral:lncRNA from 1 species
UAGUUGUAAGGCUAAAAUGACUUUAUUUAUACAAAGAGAUUAAAACAUUGCCAGCAACUUACAGCCAUAAAUACCAUCAGAUUUAGAAGGUUCUUCACAGGAUUGUUCUAAGGAUUAAAUAAGAGAACAGCUACAAAGCACUUAGCACCAUUUGCAGUACUUAGAAAUCUAUCAGAGUACAGCUAGUACCCUUCCUACUGAUUCUCUGUAUUUUAGUAAAAUCUGAUGAGAAAUCAAUUGCAAACAUAAUUUCUCAUCAGAUUUCAGAUAAAAACCCAAUUCCUUCCCUUGGUUCUCUAAAUCAUGCACAUCUGUCCUCCACCUGCUUCUGAAGCUCCAACCUCCUCCCUCACCAUAUUGCAGCCAUAGUAGCCUUUCUCAUCCAAAUUAUGCCAACUUUCUAUCUCCUCAUGAGAUAUUUGCACCUGCCGUUCCCAGUAACCUCAGGGCUCAGUGCAUGAGUUGAAGCUGCCUUUCUUUAUGUUUUUGAGACAUGGUCUCACUCUGUCACUCAAGCUGGAGUGCAGUGGCAUGACUGUGGCUCACUGCAGCCUUGACCUCCUGGACUCCAGUGUCCCUUCUACUUCAGCCUCUGGAAUGGCUGGAACCCGUCAUGUGCCAUCACAUCCAGCGAAUUUUUAAAUAUUUUUGUAGAGAUGGGGUCUCCCUAUGUUGCCCAGGCUGGUCUCGAACUCGUGGACUCAAGUGAUACUCCUGCCUCAGUUUCUCAGUGAUGGGAUCACAAGUGUGAGUCACCGUGCCUAGCAAAGUUGCCUUCUAAAUUCCUUAACAAAUGUGAGGUUAGGCAUGGUGGCUCACACCUGUAAUCCCAGCACUUCGGGAGGCUGGAGGAUUACUUGAGCUCAGGAGUUUGAAACCAACCUGGGCAACAUAGUGAGACCUCAUCUCUACUUAAAAAGAAAAAAAAAGUUUUAGGCCGGGCAUGGUGGCUCACGCCUGUAAUCCCAGCACUUUGGGAGGCCAAGGCAGGUGGAUCACGAGGUCAGGAGAUCGAGGCCAUCCUGGUCAACAUGGUGAAACCUCUUCUCUACUAAAAAUACAAAACUUAGCUGGGCAUGGUGGUGCACGCCUGUAGUCCCAGCUACUCGGGAGGCUGAGGCAGGAGAAUCACUUGAACCAGGGAGUUGCAGGUUGCAGUGAGCCAAGAUUGCGCCACUGCACUCCAGCCUGGUGACAGAGUGAGACUCCAUCUCAAAAAAAAAAAAAAAGUUUUAAAAGACAAAAAAAAAUGUACACAUUCCUUGAAAAGGGAAGAUAAUGUGGACAAGGUGCUUUGAACAGGCAAUAGGAACCUAUAGUCAUACAUAUAUACAUACAUACACAUAUAUAUAUAUAUUUUAGACAGAGUUUUGCUGUCACCCAGGCUGGAGUGCAGUGGCACGAUCUCGGCUCACUGCAACCUCCACCCCUUGGGUUCAAGGAAUUCUCGUGCCUCAGCCUCCCGAGUAGCUGGGAUUACAGGCGCCUGCCACUAUGCCCGGCUAAUUUUUGUAUUUUUAGUACAGACGGGGUUUUGCCAUGUUGGCCAGGCUGGUAUCAAACUCCUGACCUCAAGCAAUCCACCCACCUCAGCCUCCCAAAGUGCUAGGAUUACAGGCAUGAGCCACUGCGCCAGGCCCCUUAUAAUCAUUUUAAUGUGAACUUUGCUAGCUCUAGGACCAAUGAAAGUUUAAGUGAGCAAAUCCCUAUGCUAGAAACCAGGGGCUAAGGAAGAAAUAAAAAAGUAGACAUCUGGGGAAAGGCAUUGCCUCUCAAUGGUUCUUUUUUGUUUUUGAGAUGGAGUUUCGCUCUUGUUGCCUAGGCUGGAGUGCAAUGGUGCAAUCUCAGCUCACCACAACCUCUGCCUCCCAGAUUCAAGUGAUUCUCCCUGCCUCAGCCUCCCGAGUAGCUGGGAUUACAGGCAUGCGCCACCAAGCCCAGCUAAUUUUGUAUUUUAGUAGAGAUGGGAUUUCCCCAUGUUGGUCAGGCUGGUCUCGAACUCCUGACUUCAGGUGAUCCACCAGCCUCAGCCUCCCGAAGUGCUGGGAUUACAGGAGUGGGCCACUGCACCCAGCCUCAAUGUUUCUUAAUCUUGAGCAUGUAUCAUAAUCACAUAGGCUUCUUAAAAUACAGCUUGCUGGGACCUACACCCAGAAGUUUCUGGUUCAAAAGGUCUGGGAUGGAGCCAGAGAACCCUCAUUUAUUUUUUAUUUUUCUGAACCUACGGAUUAUACUAAAACUUUUAUUUCUAGUAAGUCCC